rnacentral:rRNA from 1 species
UUUAAUUGAAGAGUUUGAUCAUGGCUCAGAUUGAACGCUGGCGGCAGGCCUAACACAUGCAAGUCGAGCGGAAACGACAUCAUUGAAGCUUCGGUGAAUUUGAUGGGCGUC